CAGCCGUAAACAAUGUGCGUUAGGUAUGUCGGUAACCACGUGUUACUGAUGUGCCGAAGAGAAAUCGUGAAACGCACCACCUGGGAAGUACGGUCGCAAGGCUGAAACUUAAAGGAAUUGGCGGGGGGAGGCACCACAACAGGUGGAGCCUGCGGUUUAAUUGGAUUCAACGCCGGACAUCUCACCGGAUAAGACAGCUGAAUGAUUGUCAACCUGAAGGUUUUACAUGACUAGCUGAGAGGUGGUGCAUGGCGUCAGUGACU
rnacentral:rRNA from 1 species